AUUGAACGCUGGCGGCAGGCCUAACACAUGCAAGUCGAACGAGAGGCGGACGGGUGAGUGAUGUAUGGGAAACUGCCUGAUGGAGCGGGAUAACUACUGGAAAAGGUAGCUAAUACCGCAAACCAUCAGAUGUGCCCAGAUGGGAUGAGCUAGCUGGUGGGGUAACGGCUCACCAAGGCGACGAUCCCUAGCUGAUCUGAGAGGAUGACCAGCCACACUGGAACGGAGACACGGCCCAGACCCCUACGGGAGGCAGCAGUGGGGAAUCUUGGACAAUGGACGCAAGUCUGACCGAGCCAAGCCGCGUGUAUGAAGAAGGCCUUCGGGUUGUAAAGUUCUUUUGGCGGGGAAGCGGUAUCCAAAGAAUAAGGACCGGCUAACUCCGUGCCAGCAGCCGCGGUAAUUC
rnacentral:rRNA from 1 species